rnacentral:rRNA from 1 species
CCAAUCGAACUCGGAGAUAGCUGGUUCUCCCCGAAAUAGCUUUAGGGCUAGCGUUGUGUUAGUUUACCGGAGGUAGAGCACUGAAUUGGCUAAGGGGCGAUGAGCUUACUGAACCUUAUCAAACUUCGAAUGCCGGAUAAAUGGUGCACAGCAGUCAGACAGUGUGAGAUAAGUUUCAUUGUCAAGAGGGAAACAGCCCAGACCCACAGCUAAGGUCCCAAAUGAACGCUAAGUGGAAAACGAUGUGGGGUUGCAAAAACAACCAGGAUGUUGGCUUAGAGGCAGCCACUCAUUAAAAGAGUGCGUAAUAGCUCACUGGUCGAGUGACCCUGCGCGGAAAAUAUAACGGGGCUAAGCGUCCAACCGAAGCUUGGGAUGUCUAAGGACAUGGUAGGGGAGCGUCGUGUAUAGGGAGAAGCAUGAGCGAGAGCACGUGUGGACAGUACACGAGUGAGAAUGCCGGAAUGAGUAGCGAGAAUUAUGUGGGAAUCAUAAUGGCCGAAAAUCUAAGGUUUCUUGGGGAAGGUUCGUCCGCCCAAGGUAAGCCGGGAGCUAAGGCGAGGCCGAAAGGCGUAGUCGAUGCACAUACGGUUGAAAUUCCGUAGCCGCCGAAAUUGUUAAGCACAGGGACACAUAGAGAUAUCCGAACCCGGGCGUUGGUUGACCCGGGCGCAAGGGACCGAACAUCAGUAGGGAAGUCGGAGAUGCUCUGUGGCGAGAAAAGCUGUGUGAAUUGAUUAGGCGCCCGUACCGCAAACCGACACAGGUAGAUGAGGAGAGAAUCCUAAGGCCAACGGGAGAAGGGUUGUUAAGGAACUCGGCAAAUUGACCCCGUAACUUCGGAAGAAGGGGAGCCCCCUACGGGGGGUCGCAGAGAAAUGGCCCAAGCAACUGUUUACCAAAAACACAGGUCUAUGCUAAAUCGAAAGAUGACGUAUAUGGGCUGACGCCUGCCCGGUGCCGGAAGGUUAAGAGGAGAUGUCAGGCAACGAAGCAUUGAAUUGAAGCCCCGGUAAACGGCGGCCGUAACUAUAACGGUCCUAAGGUAGCGAAAUUCCUUGUCAGGUAAGUUCUGACCCGCACGAAUGGCGUAAUGAUUUGGGCACUGUCUCAACAGCCCGCCCGGCGAAAUUGUAGUACUGGUGAAGAUGCCAGUUACCCGCAACUAGACGGAAAGACCCCAUGGAGCUUUACUGCAGCUUAAUACUGAAAUUCGGUAGUACAUGUACAGGAUAGGUGGGAGACUGAGAAAUACAGGCGUCAGCUUGUAUGGAGUCGCUGUUGGGAUACCACUCUUGUACUGCUGGGUUUCUAACCUGCGGCCGUGAAUCCGGUCGGGGGACACUGUUAGGCGGGCAGUUUGACUGGGGCGGUCGCCUCCAAAAGAGUAACGGAGGCGCUCAA